UACGAAGGGGGCUAGCGUUGCUCGGAAUCACUGGGCGUAAAGCGCACGUAGGCGGAUUGUUAAGUCAGGGGUGAAAUCCUGGAGCUCAACUCCAGAACUGCCUUUGAUACUGGCGAUCUCGAGUCCGGGAGAGGUGAGUGGAACUGCGAGUGUAGAGGUGAAAUUCGUAGAUAUUCGCAAGAACACCAGUGGCGAAGGCGGCUCACUGGCCGGUACUGACGCUGAGGUGCGAAAGCGUGGGGAGCAAACA
rnacentral:rRNA from 1 species